UGAGGGGGAGCUGGGAGCUGGCUGGAGGUGGGAGAAGGAGCCAAGGAGUGGAGGCUCACUGGGAUGGGCAAAUGGGUGGGAUUGUCCAGUAGGAAGGCAUGACACCCCUGUCCUCGCCUCAGGACUAUCAGCGCAUGCUGGAUCUGAUGCGGGACAUCAUCUUGGCCACAGACCUGGCCCACCAUCUCCGCAUCUUCAAGGACCUCCAGAAGAUGGCUCAGGUGGGCUAUGACCGAAACAACAAGCAGCACCACAGACUCCUCCUCUGCCUCCUCAUGACCUCCUGUGACCUCUCUGACCAGACCAAGGGCUGGAAGACCACGAGAAAGAUCGCGGAGCUGAUCUACAAAGAAUUCUUCUCCCAGGGAGACCUGGAGAAGGCCAUGGGCAACAGGCCGAUGGAGAUGAUGGACCGGGAGAAGGCCUAUAUCCCUGAGCUGCAAAUCAGCUUCAUGGAGCACAUUGCAAUGCCCAUCUACAAGCUGUUGCAGGACCUGUUCCCCAAAGCAGCAGAGCUGUACGAGCGCGUGG
rnacentral:sRNA from 1 species